rnacentral:rRNA from 1 species
GAUUAUGCUGAUGCUUAUUGCACCACAUGUGUUUUUCUUUGAAACAAACUUGCUUUGGCGGUGGGCCCAGCCUGCCGCCAGAGGUCUAAACUUGCAACCAAUUUUUUAUCAACUUGUCACACCAGAUUAUUACUAAUAGUCAAAACUUUCAACAACGGAUCUCUUGGUUCUCGCAUCGAUGAAGAACGCAGCGAAAUGCGAUACGUAAUAUGAAUUGCAGAUAUUCGUGAAUCAUCGAAUUUUUGAACGCACAUUGCGCCCUCUGGUAUUCCGGAGGGCAUGCCUGUUUGAGCGUCGUUUCUCCCUCAAACCGCUGGGUUUGGUGUUGAGCAAUACGACUUGGGUUUGCUUGAAAGACGGUAGUGGUAAGGCGGGAUCGCUUUGACAAUGGCUUAGGUCUAACCAAAAACAUUGCUUGCGGCGGUAACGUCUACCACGUAUAUCUUCAAACUUUGACCUCAAAUCAGGUAGGACUACCCGCUGAACUUAAGCAUAUCAAAAAGCGGA